GCCAGUGUGGCAUCGUGGUUUGAGUGUUGGACUGCAAGUCUGGAGACCAGGGUUGGAUUCCCAGCUCGGCCA
rnacentral:tRNA from 1 species